GACCGCGUAGCUCAGUUGGCAGAGCAUUGGACUAGUAUUCCAAAGGUCGCGGGUUCGAUUCCCACCGUGGCCA